rnacentral:lncRNA from 1 species
GAAGAGAUGGCGGUUUUCUUCUGAGAGCUUUAUUUGUGAACCCUCUUGCAGUGUCACACUGAGUCCCCGCCAGGGCCUCCCGAGGAUCCCACUAAGGGGCAUCUUCCAGGGAGCGAAGGUGGUGCGAGGCCCCGACUGGGAGUGGGGCUCACAGGAUGCCUGCUGGGGGGGCCUCUUUCCCCAGGAGGGGAAGGGAAACCGGGCCGUGUGGUGGACAUCCGUGGCUGGGAUGUGGAGACAGGCCGGAGUGUGGCCAGCGUGACGUGGGCUGAUGGUACCACCAAUGUGUACCGUGUGGGCCACAAGGGCAAGGUGGACCUCAAGUGUGUGGGCGAGGCAGCGGGCGGCUUCUACUACAAGGACCACCUCCCAAGGCUCGGCAAGCCGGCGGAGCUGCAGCGCAGGGUGAGUGCUGACAGCCAGCCCUUCCAGCACGGGGACAAGGUCAAGUGUCUGCUGGACACUGAUGUCCUGCGGGAGAUGCAGGAAGGCCACGGCGGCUGGAACCCCAGGAUGGCGGAGUUUAUCGGACAGACGGGCACCGUGCAUCGUAUCACGGACCGCGGGGACGUGCGCGUGCAGUUCAACCACGAGACGCGCUGGACCUUCCACCCCGGGGCGCUCACCAAGGUGCCGGGGGGGCUGGGCUGCGCCUCAUCUGCUUGCUUCUGUAACCCCUUCCACGUACCCCCUUGGCCUUGGGGGGUCAGGCAGGACUAGGGUGCCAGCUGCACCCACGAGUCCCCAGCCCUGAAGGAAGGGGAGGGACUGGUGGG